CACGUAGGGCGCAAGCGUUGUCCGGAAUUACUGGGCGUAAAGGGCGCGUAGGCGGCCUGCUAAGUCGGACGUGAAAUCCCUCGGCUCAACCGGGGAACUGCGUCCGAUACUGGUGGGCUCGAAUCCGGGAGAGGGAUGUGGAAUUCCAGGUGUAGCGGUGAAAUGCGUAGAUAUCUGGAGGAACACCGGUGGCGAAGGCGGCAUCCUGGACCGGUAUUGACGCUGAUGCGCGAAAGCCAGGGGAGCAAACGGG
rnacentral:rRNA from 1 species